rnacentral:rRNA from 1 species
CAGGACACGGUAAGGAUUGACGGACUGAAGGAUCUUUCUCGAUUCCGUGGAAAGUGGUGCAUGGCCGUUUUUGGUUGGUGGAUCGAUCCGUCUGGUUAAUUCCGUUAACGAACGAGACCUCGGCACUCCGAAUAGCGCGGCGGACGUCGCGGCCUCCGGGCCGUCUUCCGCGCGAGCUUCUUAGAGGGACCGUCCCCCGCCGGGGAAGGAGGUUCGAGGCAACGACAGGUCUGUGAUGCCCUUAGAUGUUCUGGGCCGCACGCGCAUUACACUGACGCGUCCAACGGGCGACUCCCGGCCCGAAGGGGUCGGGGAAUCCGCAAGGCGCGUCGUGAUGGGGAUUGAACGUUGCAAUUGUUGUUCACGAACGAGGAAUUCCUAGUAGGCGCGGGUCAUCAACCCGCGCCGAUUACGUCCCUGCCCUUUGUACACACCGC